UAGGGGAAUGACACAACAGCAGGGACUACCUGCACCAGGAAUACGAACCGCUUCCCUCCCCUUGUUCAGGUGUGCUUUCGCCAUUACUCCAACCACGAGUCGCACCCUUCUAUAGAAGUAAAAAUUACCUGGCUGAGAAAAUUAAAUUUAUGUUCAAGUGCUAUUUCUCUGCAGCACCAAGGAACAGGCAUUUGUUUCUAACAAUCUCGUGGCCCAUAUGGGGAGCUAUUCUCCUCUAGGGGUGGCCUCUAUUCCUCUCUCACGCCCCACUGCCUUGUUGCGGUGGCCUCAAGAGUCAGGAAUCGAGACUCACCUGGUGUGACAAAUAAACCUGGACUCAGCAAUGUCGAAAGAAACCAGCCGGCGACCCAGGGGAAAGGAUCCUCACACACCACAGUGACCAGGCAACUCUGUGCACAGACCGAGGAAGGAAACGCCUGGGAGCCAGCAAAGUAUUUCCUUGGUGGUUGGGACAGACCAAGGGUAAAAGGGACAGCCAAUUGAACUAGAGCACAAGUACCACUCCAAUUAUUUGGCAGAGUGUCCAGUAAAGGUCCUCCACAAUACCACCAGACAUCUGCUCCGGGAUGAAUAAGGACGGACUGAUGGGUCAGCUCUUGGCAGUGCCUGACCUCACUGCAUCCUGUUAAGUCUCCAAGGAACACCAAAUUUUCCCCUUGUCGUUGGAGACAUGAGGUAAAGUUGCUCUUGGAAGAUGGAGGCUGGAUGGCCUGCGGGGGCUGACCCGCAGGAUGCUGCACUUCAGGAAAUAGCAGAGAGACAGUUUGGCACAGUUCAUUAUCCCAGGCUGUAGGAUUUUGAAAAACAGCUACCAUGCAGUCCAUGUCUUGUCGAUUAGAGGGCCAUCUGAGUGGAAAGGGGACAAUCUGGGCCUCUGGCCUACCAUGUGUAGGAGCGUAACAAUCGCUUUUAUUUAAAGUGCAGAUGGAAUAUUUAAUCCAUUCUAGCCAGGCAUUUACAUCCUGAUACCCUGUCUCAAUUGCUAUGGUUUGCCUUAGGUUUUCUACUUUUACUACGGAGAUUUUGGUUUUGUCAUUGUGUCUGGGAGGAGUGAUUGAUAGAGGUUGAAGAAGCAAUAAAGCAUAUUUCAAAAAUUCCCUUACUAUCUUUCCUGAAAUGUCAGCUCCCAUACCAUAAAUAUGACUUAAUGAAGGGGAAGAGUUUUCAGAUGUUGCAAUAGUAAUAGUAAGCUG
rnacentral:lncRNA from 10 species